rnacentral:rRNA from 1 species
GUUGAACGCUGGCGGCGUGCCUAAUACAUGCAAGUCGAGCGAACGGACGAGAAGCUUGCUUCUCUGAUGUUAGCGGCGGACGGGUGAGUAACACGUGGAUAACCUACCUAUAAGACUGGGAUAACUUCGGGAAACCGGAGCUAAUACCGGAUAAUAUUUUGAACCGCAUGGUUCAAAAGUGAAAGACGGUCUUGCUGUCACUUAUAGAUGGAUCCGCGCUGCAUUAGCUAGUUGGUAAGGUAACGGCUUACCAAGGCAACGAUGCAUAGCCGACCUGAGAGGGUGAUCGGCCACACUGGAACUGAGACACGGUCCAGACUCCUACGGGAGGCAGCAGUAGGGAAUCUUCCGCAAAGGGCGAAAGCCUGACGGAGCAACGCCGCGUGAGUGAUGAAGGUCUUCGGAUCGUAAAACUCUGUUAUUAGGGAAGAACAUAUGUGUAAGUAACUGUGCACAUCUUGACGGUACCUAAUCAGAAAGCCACGGCUAACUACGUG